CACAUGCAGUCGAACGAUGAACUCCAGCUUGCUGGGGGGAUUAGUGGCGAACGGGUGAGUAACACGUGAGUAACCUGCCCUUGACUCUGGGAUAAGCGCUGGAAACGGCGUCUAAUACCGGAUACGAGCUUCAGCCGCAUGGCUAGGAGUUGGAAAGAAUUUUGGUCAAGGAUGGACUCGCGGCCUAUCAGCUAGUUGGUGAGGUAAUGGCUCACCAAGGCGACGACGGGUAGCCGGCCUGAGAGGGUGACCGGCCACACUGGGACUGAGACACGGCCCAGACUCCUACGGGAGGCAGCAGUGGGGAAUAUUGCACAAUGGGCGCAAGCCUGAUGCAGCAACGCCGCGUGAGGGACGACGGCCUUCGGGUUGUAAACCUCUUUUAGUAGGGAAGAAGCGAAAGUGACGGUACCUGCAGAAAAAGCACCGGCUAACUACGUGCCAGCAGCCGCGGUAAUACGUAGGGUGCAAGCGUUGUCCGGAAUUAUUGGGCGUAAAGAGCUCGUAGGCGGUUUGUCGCGUCUGCUGUGAAAUCUGGGGGCUCAACCCCCAGCCUGCAGUGGGUACGGGCAGACUAGAGUGCGGUAGGGGAGAUUGGAAUUCCUGGUGUAGCGGUGGAAUGCGCAGAUAUCAGGAGGAACACCGAUGGCGAAGGCAGAUCUCUGGGCCGUAACUGACGCUGAGGAGCGAAAGCAUGGGGAG
rnacentral:rRNA from 1 species